rnacentral:rRNA from 1 species
GUAACGAGCAAGCUUAAGGUAUUCAGUACCGGAGGCGAAGCGAGAGCGAGUCUGAAUAGGGCGCAUAAAGUUCGUUGCCAUAGACCCGAAACCGGGUGACCUAACCAUGAGCAGGCUGAAGUGAGAGUAAAAUCUCAUGGAGGGCCGAACGCACGUUCGUUGCAAUGACCGGCGAUGACUUGUGGUUAGCGGAGAAAUUCCAAUCGAACUCGGAGAUAGCUGGUUCUCCCCGAAAUAGGUUUAGGCCUAGCCUUGAUUGAAUCUGCCCGGAGGUAGAGCACUGAAUGUGCGAUGGCGUCGUCUAGAUGUACUGAGUACAAUCAAACUCCGAAUGCUGGGUAGUACUAAUCAGGAGUCACUGUAUGGGUGAUAACGUCCAUACGGGAGAGGAAAAGAAUCCGGAUCGCCAGCUAAGGUCCCAAAAUUUGUGUUAAGUGGGAAAGGAUGUAGAGUUGUCAAAACAGCUAGGAGGUUGGCUUAGAAGCAGCCACCCUUUAAAGAGUGCGUAAUAGCUCACUAGUCGAGUGACACUGCGCCGAAGAUGUACCGGGGCUAAACACAAUACCGAAGCUGCGGACUUGCAUGUAAGUGCAAGUGGUAGGGGAGCGUUCUAAGGGCUGUGAAGGUAGACCGUAAGGACUGCUGGAGCGCUUAGAAGUGAGAAUGCCGGUGUGAGUAACGAAAAUUGGGUGAGAAUCCCAUUCACCGUUUGACUAAGGGUUCCUGGGUAAAGUUCGUCUUCCCAGGGUAAGUCAGGACCUAAGAUGAGGCUGAAAAGCGUAGUCGAUGGACAACAGGUUGAUAUUCCUGUACCACCUAUAUGACUGAAGGAGUGACGGAGAAAGCUAGUGAGAGCCAGUUAAUGGAUUCUGGUCUAAGUGCGUAGGCUAGUAUGUUGGCAAAUCCGCAAUACUAUAACAGCUGAAACAUGAUGGGGAAGAGAGUCUUCGGACAAUCGAACUUUCAUGAUGCUAUGCUUCCAAGAAAAGCUUCUAGGGUUAAUCGUAUAGGUGCCUGUACCGACAACCGACACAGGUGGUCAAGGAGAGUAUCCUAAGGUGAGCGAGAGAACUAUGGUUAAGGAACUCGGCAAAAUGACCCCGUAACUUCGGGAGAAGGGGUGGUCUAGCGAUAGACCCGCAGUGAAUAGGCCCAGGCAACUGUUUACCAAAAACACAGGUCUCUGCUAACACGUAAGUGGAUGUAUAGGGGCUGACGCCUGCCCAGUGCUGGAAGGUUAAAGAGAUUAGUUAGUAUGACGUAAGUCGAUAAUACGAAGCUUUGAACUGAAGCCCCAGUGAACGGCGGCCGUAACUAUAACGGUCCUAAGGUAGCGAAAUUCCUUGUCAGGUAAG